rnacentral:lncRNA from 1 species
GGCAAGGAGGCAAGGACCCCGUCUCUCCCACGGAUGGGGAGAGGGCAGGAGGAGACCCAGCCAAGUGCCUUUUCCUCAGCACUGAGGGAGGGGGCUUGUUUCCCUUCCCUCCCGGCGACAAGCUCCAGGGCAGGGCUGUCCCUCUGGGCGGCCCAGCACUUCCUCAGACACAACUUCUUCCUGCUGCUCCAGUCGUGGGGAUCAUCACUUACCCACCCCCCAAGUUCAAGACCAAAUCUUCCAGCUGCCCCCUUCGUGUUUCCCUGUGUUUGCUGUAGCUGGGCAUGUCUCCAGGAACCAAGAAGCCCUCAGCCUGGUGUAGUCUCCCUGACCCUUGUUAAUUCCUUAAGUCUAAAGAUGAUGAACUUCUGCCUGGUGCCUGU